GCUGUACACCAGAAUGAAGCCAUCCGCCCACUGGGUCCUCUUCUCCUGGAUACACUUCACUUCAGGCAGGUCCUAAAGAAGAAACAUCAACCCGUGAACCAAGAAGUAACAAACACACCUGUUUUAGUCUUUCACCUGAAUGCAGGGGCAUUGGAAACGCAAGCCGGGAUGGUCAUGGGGGUUUUUCUCUGGAAAUGAACAAGAAGAAUCAUUCCAUUCAGUAAUGGGCAAUAACCACAUCAGCAAGUCUGAUUAUAGAGAGGUCAGCAAGAAUGUGAAGGGAUGCAAACAGCAGCUGGACUGGGAGCAGACAAGACUUGAUUAAGGUUUAUCCAAUUUAGCGAUAAAUCUGGUGGCAUUGUCCUUGUAAUUCUAUUAAGCUUCUCAUUGGGCGGAUGCAUAAUGUCAUUAAAAUAGUCUUUGCAAAAAUUGGAUGUAAUACAUAAUUCAUACUGCCGUUUUGUUUUAGAGUGUCCUUUUUUGACACAUCAUUGCCAGAUGUGUAAAAAACUAGAAUGGUUCUCAUUGACAAAUUGAAGGCUCCAUCACUGGUAUUGCUUCAUUUUUAAAGUUAUUAAAGGUUUGGCUUCUGAUUAGCUUAGUAUUUUGGUCAGAAAGGUCAAUCCUGGCUCUAGUUUGCGAUCUCAUGAUUCUGCUAGUUUGGUAUUCCCAAGGAUAUGGACACAAUUAGGAUAACUGGCUUUUUCUUAUCAACUCCCAAAAAACCUGGAACACUUUUUCCCAUGGUUUAAGAAUGGAAUUUGAUAGCCUCUCGUGUUUUGGUUAUAAAGAGCGGAUUUGGGAUUGGCUUAAAACUCCUUGCCUUUGCUUUUCUUUUAAUCCACAUUGAAAAGAAAAAAA